rnacentral:rRNA from 1 species
GGGGAAUUUUGGACAAUGGGGGCAACCCUGAUCCAGCCAUGCCGCGUGCGGGAAGAAGGCCUUCGGGUUGUAAACCGCUUUUGUCCGGAAAGAAAAGGCGCCUCCCAAUACGGGGCGUUCUUGACGGUACCGGAAGAAUAAGCACCGGCUAACUACGUGCCAGCAGCCGCGGUAAUACGUAGGGUGCGAGCGUUAAUCGGAAUUACUGGGCGUAAAGUGUGCGCAGGCGGCCGCGCAAGUCGAGUGUGAAAGCCCCGAGCUUAACUUGGGAACUGCGCUCGAAACUACGUGGCUGGAGUGUGGCAGAGGAAGGUGGAAUUCCAGGUGUAGCGGUGAAAUGCGUAGAGAUCUGGAGGAACACCGAUGGCGAAGGCAGCCUUCUGGGCCAACACUGACGCUCAUGCACGAAAGCGUGGGGAGCAAAC